UCCCAGACUCCUACGGGAGGCAGCAGUUAGGAAUAUUCGGCAAUGGGGGAAACCCUGACCGAGCAAUGCCGCGUGUGAGAUGACGGCCCUAUGGGUUGUAAAUCACUUUUAUUUGGGAAGAACUGUAAGUAGAGGAAAUGAUACUUACUUGACGGUACCUUUUGAAUAAGCCCCGGCUAACUACGUGCCAGCAGCCGCGGUAAUACGUAGGGGGCGAGCGUUAUCCGGAUUUAUUGGGCGUAAAGCGUGCGUAGGCGGUUUGUUAAGUCCAGAAUUAAAGCCCGAGGCUUAACCUCGGUUCGUUCUGGAUACUGGCAGGCUAGAGUAUGGUAGAGGCAAAUGGAAUUCCUAGUGUAGCGGUGAAAUGCGUAGAUAUUAGGAGGAACACCAGUGGCGAAAGCGAUUUGCUGGGCCAUCACUGACGCUGAGGUACGAAAGCGUGGGGAGCAAAUAGGAUUAGAUACCCGGGUAGA
rnacentral:rRNA from 1 species